GUGGGGCCCCCAGCAUCACAGGUAACUAACCGCUCAGAUGUGGGGCCCCCAGCAUCACAGGUAACUAACUGCUCAGAUGUGGGGCCCCCAGCAUCACAGGUAACUAACCGCUCAGAUGUGGGGCCCCCAGCAUCACAGGUAACUAACCGCUCAGACGUGGGGCCCCAGCAUCACAGGUAACUAACCGCUCAGACGUGGGGCCCCAGCAUCACAGGUAACUAACCGCUCAGACGUGGGGCCCCCAGCAUCACAGGUAACUAACCGCUCAGACGUGGGGCCCCAGCAUCACAGGUAACUAACCGCUCAGAUAUGUGGGGCCCCAGCAUCACAGGUAACUAACUGCAUCAGACGUGGGGCCCCAGCAUCACAGGUAACUAACCGUUCAGACAUGGGGCCCCAGCAUCACAGGUAACUAACCGCUCAGACGUGGCGUUCCCCAGCAUCACAGGUAACUAACUGCAUCAGACAUGGGGCCCCAGCAUCACAGGUAACUAACUGUAUCAGAUGUGGGGCCCCAGCAUCACAGGUAACUAACCGCUCAGACGUGGGGCCCCAGCAUCACAGGUAACUAACUGCAUCAGACGUGGGGUUCCCCAGCAUCACAGGUAACUAACCGCUCAGACGUGGGGGCCCCAGCAUCACAGGUAACUAACUGCUCUGAUGUGUAUGGGGCUUUACAGCAAGUUCUGUGUGUCUUUGGUUUGUGUGAAGAUUAAAUAGCUUUCAUUACUGCACUCUAAGGUUCCUGGGUUAGGAAGGAAGUGCCUGCUGCCUCCUGCGUGACCAGUGUGGGCCCUGCCCUCAUGGGAACUUGUGGAGACGCUCACCUACCAAGCCCUGCCUCCAGCUUAGAUUUCUGCCUCUUUCAGAAUCGAAAAGCUUGAAUAACUUGGUAUAUUUAUCUUCUCUCUUGGGCCAUAAGAGAAUCUCAUAUAAUCCCCCAUACGUUUUUUAUUUCUGAUUAACAGUGGGUCACAAGUAGGGUUCCAGGGGAUAGUUCUGCACUGCAUCCACCACCAGAGAUCUGUGUCCCCACCCUUCUACCUCCCAUAGAUAACCACCAUAGUUCCCAUAAGUCUUAGAAACAGUUUCCUUUAUUAAAUAUUUAUUUAUUCCC